GUUGCUGUGGUGUAGUGGUUAUCACAUUAGUCUUACACACUAAUGGUCCCCAGUUCGAUCCUUGGCGGCAAUA